GCGGAUUUAGCUCAGUGGUAGAGCGUCUCGUUGCCAUCGAGAAGGUCGCAAGUUCAAUCCUUGUAAUCCGCUCCA
rnacentral:tRNA from 1 species